rnacentral:rRNA from 1 species
UACGUAGGGGGCGAGCGUUGUCCGGAUUUAUUGGGCGUAAAGAGCGUGUAGGCGGUUCGGUAAGUCUGUCGUGAAAUCCUGAGGCUCAACCUCGGGCGUGCGAUGGAUACUGCCGGGCUAGAGGAUGGUAGAGGCGAGUGGAAUUCCCGGUGUAGCGGUGAAAUGCGCAGAUAUCAGGAAGAACACCUAUGGCGAAGGCAGCUCUCUGGGACGGUACUGACGCUGAGACGCGAAAGCGUGGGGGAGCGAACAGG